rnacentral:misc_RNA from 1 species
CCGGCGUAGCCGCCAGCACCGGCGUCAGGUACAAAGACGCCAAUGCACAUUCGCCCGGCAGUUCUGAAAGAUGCAUCGAAGGCCUGCGACACCCUGCGGCGCUCGAUUGCGGAACUAUGCGUCGCCGAUCAUGGCAACGACAAAGCGAUACUCGGCCAGUGGCUGGCCAANNNNNNNNNCCGAGGUUUUCGCGUCAUGGCUCAAGGAUACUGGCAACACCGUGCUGGUGGCCGACCACAACGGGCUGAUCGCCGCUGUGGGUGUGGUCAACAACGACGGCGAGAUCACGUGCAACUAUGUGUCGCCCGAUUUUCGUUUUCAGGGCG